rnacentral:lncRNA from 1 species
GGCUCGACAUUGCUAUGAACCAAUACAAGUCUCUCUGGACUAAAUACGUCGACAACGAAAUGGAGUUUGUGCAGAUGUGCAAUUUUGGUCUUUAAAGAAAGAUAUCGAUGAAGAGGUAACCUCAAAUCGAUAUGUGUUCAGUCAUUCAGGGCAUUCUUUAGCUUAUAUACGUUUAUCUUUUACUAGGGAUUGGUCCGCCCUACGGGCGGGUAAGUUUACAAUAAAAUUCUUUAUAUUAAAAUAUAUUUUAAUUUUAUAAAACAUUUAAAAAUUAUUUUAAGUAUAAUUUGUUUUCUAAGAUCAUAUUGUAAAUUUCAUUUGUUAAACGUUAAACAACUGUUAUAAAUUUUCUUCUAAUAUCAUACCUUAUUUGUUAUUUGAGUUUCUAAGAAAAUGUAAAUUGGUAGUGCAUUAGGUUUGCAUUUGGAAUUGAUAUGUGUGAUACUGAUUUUAGUUUUUUUAAAAUGUUGUGUGUCAGGAAGUGUGAUUGCAUGAGGUCAUUUGGAUGAGGAAUUAAAUGUGAUGUGAGUGAGUUUGUAUGCUUCUGAAACUGAUUUAUAGUAUACAAUACCAGUAAAUUUGAUUUGUAUGAACAAUUUGAAUUGGAGAAGAAGUGUUCGGUUAAUAUAUUUCAAAACUUUAUGGGCUUUCAAGGAUUUUUGUGUUGUUGGUCGUUUAAGUUUGGAAUCCACACUCCAUUGAGUAACUGUUUUUUUUUUGCGCUUGGGAGCUCGUCAUCGUUUUGCUUGGAGUAUUUAUUUUUGCAAAACAGUUGAUAUUUAUACUUAUAUCAAGUGAUUCGUAAUAAAUUUAUGGUUAAACAUUUGGCCUCACAAUGUCUAUUUUAGUUAUUUCAAUCUCAUAGGAAUGAGUUUAUUUGUUUUAUACAACCAAUUCUCAUAGUUUAAUGUGAGUGACAUUCAUCCUACAUAAAAGUUGAAUAGGAGUAGUGUGUACUUUGUUUAAUCAUUUAUAAUCAGUUGGUAUAUUUUCUCUUUUUCAUAGUGGGAUGAUUGGUUUAAAGAACUUUAAUGGCAAAAAAGGAACCUUAAUGGCAAUCUGAAUUACGUUGGUUGAAUGAUGAUCUAAGGCAUAGCAAAGUCGGAUUUAGAAAGGUGGUAAAAUCAAGAUUUAGCCAUAGGUCAAUGAAAAUGUUAAACCGAUGGAGGCAUUAGUAGGAAAGCAAUGGUUUGUCAGCUCGAUCAGUUGGUCUAAAUGUUAAAUUAGUAACGCCAAUUAAAACCAAAGAUUCCAAUAGGAAAACUUGAAAAAACUUGUGAAAUGGAAGGUUUUGAACACGAAUGGGUUCAUUUAGUAUAUUGAUAUGUUUGUGAUUUUAAUGUUUUUAUUUGUGUGUUCCUCGGUUAAUUUAUUCUCAAAUGUUUUUAUAUGCUUAUUUGAUGAUAAGUGAUUUUUUUUAUAACAUGAUUAAGAUUAGCAAUUUUGUGAUAAGUUAACUAUCACAUUAUGUGUCAUGUUUUACAAUUAUAUUUAUUCAUAUUUUGGUUUCCUAAUAUUAUAAUUAUUAUUUUUAUAGGUAUUUUAACGGCUAAUGACUAAUUUUUUAGUUGUUGAUUUAUAUUUGUAAUAGUAAUUAAAAAUUCUAAAUUAUUGUUCUGCUUUAUUUUACUUAACUUUGCUUUCAAUUAAUAUUUAUUUUAUUAAUUGUGUUUUUACAGUCUUAAUAUUGUUUUUUUUUGGAAUUACCAUUUUCAUUAUAAAUUAAAAGGUUUUGGUUCAGUAUAUUUAUGUAUUAGUAUAGCUUUUUCGUUUCUAGAUUGAAGAGAAAAAACAAUGAAAAUAUUUGAAGUUUAAUAGAAUUUCAAAUUAAAUGUUAUAUAAAUUAUAUAAAUAUUUGAUACACGUCAUUUUAUAUUUAUUAUUUUAGUUUUUAUUUAGAUUUGUAACAAUUUAUGUAACUGGAAUUUUUAUCACAAAUAUACAAUUUAAUUGUCCCAGCAUAUCUUUACAUUUUAAUCAAUAUGUUUAAUUAAUGUUAUUUCAUAUUCGUUUGAUUGUAAUUUCGAUAUUGGUCAUCAUGUUUGUUACGGUUAGUAUAGCACAUCAAAAUUGUGAGAAUCUGAGAACCUGUUUUUGUAAGCUUCCACUCUUUGGCUCAACAGCCCCAUAGUAUGGAAUCGAAACCUGUUUGGGCACUUAUACAACCAAUUUGAGCAUGGAAGAGUGUGAUUCUUGUCGUGUCUAAAACUUGUGAGCAGAAGUUGGGUUACGGAACUAAAGACGAUAAGUGAUAAUCGUAGGAAUUUUCUUUAUUGUUAGGAUAAUUUCAAGACAGAGGAGAUGAUUUCAGGGUGCCCAAAUACAAAGUAAAGAUAAUCUUAUUCAAGAGUUGUGUUAUAAAGUCUUGUGUGCCUUCUUUGAUGGGACCCUCUGGCGCAGGAAACAGAGCUUCUCCAGCAGUGUUUCCGCUCAAUACAUUAGGUACUCCAGGUGAUGUGUCCGUAUCACUUCGUUCGUCCGCCGGUCGGUUAUGCUUCUGGAGGUGUUCUCGGACCCAUGGAGUCAGAGCCAUUGCAGAAGAUACACGUAGAUACUCUAUUUUUAUGCACCUCCACAAUUAUCAGAACUGGAUGAUCAGUUGACGUCACUCCCACGCAAUCUGCAGUUGAGAACGUGUAAGAUUCUUGAGAAAGUGUGUAGGAGGGAAGUGAUACAAACAUCCUGUUGUUCAAGAUUCUUACUCUUGGAAGAAGCUCUAGCCAGAGCCGCUUUCAUUGUUAAAGUAGAAAUGAGUGUCAGAUGUUGUAUUAAGGAAUAGUCGACCUGCAAGCAGAACUAAGUAAGCUCCAUAAGAUGUUCUGAAUCAGAACUUCUGAUGCACAAAGUGAAUGCACAGACUCUGUGAUCUUGACGAUCUGGGUAAGUUAGGUGUAGAUCGCAACUGUUGAGUCUGAAAAUCUGAAGUGAUUGUUGAUUCUGUAAGACUAUGUAGCAAAUUUUGAAUAAGCUAGUUGUGGAGUUCAUUCACAGAGUGCUCUCGCUCCUUAGUUGUGGCAGCUUUAGUGUUUGCUUCCUCGAUAUUCGUAGAAGUUUAAAAAAAAAAUGAAAGAAUACAAAAAUAAAUAGUUGAUAAGCUGUAUAGCAGUGAUUUUCAAAAUAGUGUGGGCAUAAAAAUGAAAAUUUGGAUAUAUUAGUCGACACAUACUCUAGUGAAAGACAUUACCUUGUUACAAUAUGCAAUCUCCAACUGUUUAAUGUUUCUGGCCUCUAAGCACACACCAGUUAUCUCCAUUCCAGUACACGGGGAAACAAUGCCUCCUCACCAAGUUCAACAUGUCAGAAACAUAGAUUGGAUAUAAGCACUCUAAAGGUUAAACAUGUUAACAUUUUAAAACACUGCAGAGAACAAUGGUACCUCAUAUAGACGACUCUAAACAGGUGCACCAGCUAUCCCCUCUUGUAGAAGACGCAAAAUCUUCUGAAAGAGUUUUAAUUGAUUGCUUAUUCGAGUUACUUUUAAGGAAUGGAAGUAAACCUGGUGAUCGGCGGUGGGACUGUCUAGUGGAGAUGAUGCGAGCGCCGAUGUUGUCCUGUCGAAUCUGCUGCGCUGAACCAGUUCCUGUUGUUUUAAAUCACAUUAAUCAGACCAAAUAUUAUGCGAGUAUAUUCAUUCUUCAAUUAAUUAUUGAGUGGCAAAAUUAAAAAUGAAAUAAUCAAUUGUUACAAAAUGGACAGAAACUUUAUGUUUGUUUAAUUUUUUUAAAAAUUUUGUGCAGUUAAGUGUUAGUUGAUAAUAAUUUUACGCAAACAAUACUUUUAAGUAUUUAAGCUGCUGGUUUCAAAUACUUUGGUAAUAAAAUGUUAAUGUCCUAAAGUAUAAGGGUGAGACUGGGGUUUUAAUAAUAUUGAGAGUUUAUAUCUACACUAUAAAUUAGUAAUUGUUUAUUAAACCAAUGAUUAAUGACAUUAACGUGUCUUCUUCACUAAAAUGUCUUGAGAUCUCUAUCCAUCCCAUCACUCUCCAGAGGCUAAUUCACACUCUAUCGGGCAAGCAAGAACCUCAUCCCCAUCUGAACUUUUUUUUUUUUAAACUGACUUAUAAAAGGUAAAGCUAAAUGGCGGUGGCCUUCCAUGGAGGCCGGAACGGCGUCGGAUCGGGACUCCGCAGUUUCUUCUCGUACCGGAUCUUCAUCUCCGCCUUGUUCUCUUUCCUCUUCCUCGCCACCUUCUCCGUUGUCCUCAACUCCUCUCGUCACCAACCUCAUCUCGAUCACGUAAGCUUCCGAUUCGUUUCACAAUCCGAAUCAAAAUUUAGAAAUGAAUUUAGAAUCUGAGCUUCGAUUUUUGGUGUUUAGACAUUGCCGAGGACGUUUCAAUCGGAUCCGUUGAAAGCUAGGUUAGAUCUGAUCCACAAGCAAGCCACCGAUCACCUCACGCUUGUGAACGCUUACGCUGCUUACGCUAGGAAGCUCAAGCUCGACGCGUCGAAGCAGCUGAAGCUCUUCGAAGAUCUGGCGGUUAACUUCUCCGAUCUGCAGGCCAAACCUGGACUGAAGCUCGAAAACGGGAACGCGAUCGAGGAGGAUGCGUUUCGGCAGAUCGAGAAAGAGGUUAAAGAUAAGGUGAAGACCGCGAGGAUGAUGAUCGUUGAGUCCAAAGAGAGUUACGAUACACAGCUCAAGAUCCAGAAGCUCAAGGAUACGAUCUUCGCUGUUCAAGAACAGUUGACGAAAGCUAAGAAAAACGGCGCCGUUGCGAGCUUGAUCUCGGCUAAGUCGGUUCCCAAGAGUCUUAACUGUUUGGCUAUGAGGCUUGUUGGUGAGAGGAUCUCUAACCCUGAGAAGUAUAAGGAUGCUCCGUUUGAUUCGGCUGUGUUGGAGGAUCCGAGUCUUUAUCACUACGCGGUUUUCUCUGAUAAUGUGAUUGCUGUUUCCGUUGUGGUGAGGUCGGUUGUGGUGAACGCUGAGGAGCCGUGGAAGCAUGUGUUUCAUGUGGUGACUGAUAGGAUGAAUCUCGCCGCUAUGAAGGUUUGGUUUAAGAUGCGUCCUUUGGACCGUGGUGCUCGUGUUGAGAUUAAGUCGGUUGAGGAGUUUAAGUUCUUGAACUCUUCGUAUGCGCCGGUCUUGAGGCAGUUAGAGUCUGCUAAGUUGCAGAAGUUUUACUUUGAGAACCAGGCGGAGAACUCGACUAGAGAUGAACAUAACAUCAAGUUCAAGAACCCCAAGUAUCUCUCGGUGUUGAACCAUCUGAGAUUCUACUUACCGGAGAUGUAUCCGAAGCUGAAUAAGAUCUUGUUCUUGGACGAUGAUGUUGUGGUGCAGAAGGACGUGACUGGGUUGUGGAAGAUUAAUUUAGAUGGGAAGGUGAAUGGAGCUGUUGAGACGUGCUUUGGCUCUUUUCAUCGAUAUGGUCAAUACCUAAACUUCACUCAUCCUCUGAUCAAAGAGAGCUUUAACCCCAAUGCUUGUGCUUGGGCCUUUGGGAUGAAUAUAUUUGAUCUCAAUGCUUGGAGGCGCGAGAAAUGCACAGAUCAAUACCAUUACUGGCAGAACUUGGUAAGCCCCAUAUCUUUCUUAGUAACUUAUGCAUUUCAAAAAAUCUCUUUUAUCUUGUGUUGAUUGUGUGCUAAUCUCUGAGCAGAAUGAAGACAGAAGUCUCUGGAAAUUAGGCACUCUGCCUCCGGGACUGAUGACAUUCUAUUCAAAGACGAAAUCACUGGACAAGUCCUGGCAUGUGCUUGGGUUAGGCUACAACCCGGGAGUGAGCAUGGACGAGAUAAAAAAAGCAGCAGUGAUACAUUACAAUGGGAACAUGAAACCAUGGCUAGACAUUGCUAUGAACCAAUACAAGUCUCUCUGGACUAAAUACGUCGACAACGAAAUGGAGUUUGUGCAGAUGUGCAAUUUUGGUCUUUAAAGAAAGAUAUCGAUGAAGAGGUAACCUCAAAUCGAUAUAUGUUCAGUCAUUCAGGGCAUUCUUUAGCUUAUAUACGUUUAUCUUUUAUAUAUUAUAUAGGGUUACAAAAGUGUUUUGCUUUGUUCUUUCUGUCAUAGUUUUGUUCUUUAUUUAUAUUUUGUGUAACUCUUUCACAUCAAAAGCUUUAUCCAAAACUACAAUGUGUUAAGGUUUGUUUCAUGCAAAGUUUUGACUUAUGAUUGAAACAUUAAAGAGAAAUGGAUUAGGAAGAUAAUGAAUUUUUAUCAUAUGUUGAUUUAGUUUCAUUUUAUUACUAAAAUCAUGAUGAGCUAACUACUUUACAAAACACAAUAAGAUUUUAUCAUAUGUUUGUAUAUCUACAAAAAUAGUUAGAAAUUCAACAAAGUUGUUAUGACCGUUUCUCACCGCAAGACAGAAACUCAAAGAUCCUGUCUCGAGUCAAUGUACGUCCAAACUGCACAAACCCAUCGCACCUUCCGGUCUCUCUGUCUAGGUCAACGAGCGUUGACUUCAAUUUCUCCAGUUCCUCCUCCAUCCCUCCCAUAGCAAAUGCCACAGACGACCGUUUAUUCACGGCGAUGUCCACCGUUAGUCUAAUGGAUCUCUCCACCGCCUCCAACAUACUCACAAGUCUGCUCAUCUUCUCAACCUCCUUGAGAGCCACCAUCGUUUCCCUCUCCAUCGACGUCACUGCUGUCUUUUCCCGUUUCAGAGUUUCCGACGACUCUCUCCACCUCGAAGCAGCAAAGUUAGUCACUGCUUCAACCGGUACAGGUACAAAGAUACCCGCCACGAUUUUUCCCACGGCCACUAGAGCGAUCAUCGCCGCCGCAACCUUGAUCCUUGGAUGCUGUCUUUAUGGAGUACAUUAUAUCAGAUCAAUCCAAAAUACUUUCCUAAAGGUCCAGAUGUGAUGAUUCCUCAAGAUGAAUUAACUGAUCAGCCCAAAUAUAGGAUCUUAUAUCAUAAGCAGGAGACACUGGAGCCUGAAUUGAUGGCAGAGUCAGGUACACCAAGUUUUUAUUCCUAUCAUGUUUUUAAGGAGGGGAUUCAUGGUGUGGAUACUUUGCUCCAUCAUGUUAGCUUAGGACUAUGUUAUGCUACUUAACAGUGAACUUUCUGUCUAGUUAAUAAUGGUAAUUGCUAGAAAAAUGUCAAUGUAGAGAAAUGACUUUUAAUGUUCUGGUUCAGUUGGCUCGUGAACUCUUGCAUAAUAUGCCUCUUAUUGUUUUAGCAGACAUCAUAGAAAGAGCCCGUGGAAUGUCACCCGGAAAAUUAUCCAAGGACAAAACUAAACCAGACUGCUUUCUCAAGAUGGUACUAUGCACAUCCAUUAUAUUUUUUUUUUGAUUUUAUGUUAUAUAUGCUAUGCAACCUUGCUGGUUAUGCUAUUUUUUUAUGCUGUGUUACCUUGAAUACGGAUUUGAUGGUCCUUCUUGGUCAAAAUAUGUUUUCUUAAAAUAUCUUAUUUCUGGUAAGCCUGGAUGAUAUGAGUUUUAUUCCCUUGGCUUGCAUUUAAAUAUUUCAAUCAUGCAGAUUAAAAAUGAAGUCUUGACGAAAGCUGGAAGUACAAAGGAUGUCCGCCACUUCGAGUUCCAAUUUGUUUCUUCUGUAAGUAACUUUGCUAUCACUUACUAACUAGUUUCAAUCAAUUUCUCCUCUUUUAUGAAGUGGUUGUUCAAUUAAUUUCUCCUCUUUGUUUUUUUUUUAAUUCAUUUAAGAGUAUCAAAUAUGAAGUGGGCGAUGUUGUUGAGCUUCUUCCAAGCCAAGAUUCUUCAGCAAUAGAUGCGUUUAUAAAACGCUGUCAUUUGGACCCGGAAUCAUUCAUCACAGUAAGUAGCUCCACUCUGUUGACAUGAUGAUCCCAGAUUGUCUAACUGAAGUAAAUUUUGAUAACUAAUUUACUUUCAGGUUUGUCCGAGAGAGACAGUGAAUAAUGGUUCAUGUGGAGAAGUAAUUACACACCAUGUCCCUAUCAAGCUUAAGACUUUUGUUGAAUUAACAAUGGACGUUACAUCUGCUUCACCUCGACGAUACUUCUUCGAGGUAAGAGUCCUAAUGAUCUUGAAUAUCAGAUUUUUAUAAUGUAAUUUUAAGUAUUUGAUGGAAGUCGUUACAAUGUAUCUUCUCGGUGUCAGGUUAUGAGCUUCUAUGCAACAGCUGAACUUGAGAAGGAAAGACUGCAAUACUUUGCCUCAGCCGAGGGACGUGAUGACCUCUACAAUUACAAUCAGAAGGAAAGAAAAAGCGUCCUUGAGGUAACCAAUUGGGGACACCAUGAUUCGUCUUGAACCAAAUAGAUCUUAUUGCUACUGCCUAUGUAGGUGCUAGAGGAUUUCUCUUCCGUGCAAAUGCCUUUUGAGUGGCUAGUACAGUUAGUACCAUCGCUAAAACCACGAGCUUUUUCGAUAUCUUCAUCUCCUUUGGCCCACCCUGGUCAAGUACAUUUGACAGUAAGCGUGGUAUCAUGGAUCACCCCUUCAUACCCUUAUAAGAGAACUCGAAAAGGUCUAUGCUCCUCUUGGCUCGCAAGCCUCACACCUGAGCAAGGUUAGCACUGUGUUUCUAUGUAUUAUUUUAACUGACUCAGGUCUUUGUUUCUACGUAUUUAUCUUACAUUUUGUGUUCCGUUGUGUUUAGAGAUAAACAUACCGAUUUGGUUUCACAAAGGCUCUCUUCCUGCUCCACCACAGUCGCUUCCACUCAUCUUAGUGGGACCUGGAACCGGAUGUGCCCCUUUCCGCGGGUUCAUAGCUGAGAGAGCCGUGCAAGCUCAGACCAGCCCGAUCGCACCAGUCAUGUUCUUCUUUGGUUGCAGGAACAAAGACACUGACUUUUUAUACAAAGACUUCUGGGAGUCUCAUGCAAGAGAAGGAGGCAUGCUCUCUGAAGUAAAAGGCGGAGGGUUUUACACAGCAUUCUCUAGAGACCAACCGAAGAAGGUUUACGUGCAACACAGGAUACUAGAGAUGAGGAAGAAAGUUUGGGAUUUGCUAUGUGAUGGAGCCGCCGUUUACGUGGCGGGCUCGUCCACGAAAAUGCCUUGUGAUGUGAUGUCGGCCUUGGAGGAGAUUGUGAUGGAGGAGACCGGAGGAUCAAAGGAAAUGGCUUCACGGUGGCUCAAGGCUUUGGAGAAAGCUGGGAGAUACAAUGUUGAAGCUUGGUCUUAAACCCAACUUCCUCCAUAUCAUGUAAUGUUUGAUUACUAGCUAUACGAAUCAUUGGAUUAUUUAUUUAUUUAAAUUGAUUUUAUAAUAUUCACAUUGAACGGUUCAAAUGAAGAUGAUUUGUUUGAUUGUAUACAUUUGAACUUUAUUUAUAAUUUAAUUUUAAUUUUUUUUAUAUAACGAGGUUCUUACCUUUUUCAUUUUAACUAGAGUUUGUUGAAUAAAUCAUUCACCUCACUGAAUAAUACAAGAUUUCAGUGUUUAUAUAAAAAUCAUCAAUUAAAUAACAUCAGAUUUUAAACAGAACUGAAAAUCAACGUACAAUGUCAAUUACUCAAUUUUUUUAUUUAUUAAUUUAUUGUAUAAUAACACUUUAGUUAUUUUUCAAAUGUUUUCGAUCGGCAAAUUUAAUAGAAUAUAUUUAUUCUUCAAUUAAUCAUUGAGUGGCAAAAUUAAAAAUGAAAUAAUCAAUUGUUAUAAAAUGGACAGAAACUAUUAUUUUUCUAAAUUUGUUUAUUUUUUUAAAAAAAAUUGUGCAGUCAAAGUGUUAGUUGAUAAUAAUUCUACACAAACAAUACUUUCAAGUAUUAAAGCUGCUGGUUUCAAAUACUUUGGUAAUAAAAUGUUAAUGUCCUAAAGUAUAUAGGUGAGACUGGGGUUUUAAUAAUAUUGAGAGUUUAUAUCUACACUAUAAAUUAGUAAUUGUUUAUUAAACCAAUGAUUAAUGACAUUAACGUGUCUUCUUCACUAAAAUGUCUUGAGAUCUCUAUCCAUCCCAUCACUCUCCAGAGGCUAAUUCACACUCUAUCGGGCAAGCAAGAACCUCAUCCCCAUCUGAACUUUUUUUUUUUUAAACUGACUUAUAAAAGGUAAAGCUAAAUGGCGGUGGCCUUCCAUGGAGGCCGGAACGGCGUCGGAUCGGGACUCCGCAGUUUCUUCUCGUACCGGAUCUUCAUCUCCGCCUUGUUCUCUUUCCUCUUCCUCGCCACCUUCUCCGUUGUCCUCAACUCCUCUCGUCACCAACCUCAUCUCGAUCACGUAAGCUUCCGAUUCGUUUCACAAUCCGAAUCAAAAUUUAGAAAUGAAUUUAGAAUCUGAGCUUCGAUUUUUGGUGUUUAGACAUUGCCGAGGACGUUUCAAUCGGAUCCGUUGAAAGCUAGGUUAGAUCUGAUCCACAAGCAAGCCACCGAUCACCUCACGCUUGUGAACGCUUACGCUGCUUACGCUAGGAAGCUCAAGCUCGACGCGUCGAAGCAGCUGAAGCUCUUCGAAGAUCUGGCGGUUAACUUCUCCGAUCUGCAGGCCAAACCUGGACUGAAGCUCGAAAACGGGAACGCGAUCGAGGAGGAUGCGUUUCGGCAGAUCGAGAAAGAGGUUAAAGAUAAGGUGAAGACCGCGAGGAUGAUGAUCGUUGAGUCCAAAGAGAGUUACGAUACACAGCUCAAGAUCCAGAAGCUCAAGGAUACGAUCUUCGCUGUUCAAGAACAGUUGACGAAAGCUAAGAAAAACGGCGCCGUUGCGAGCUUGAUCUCGGCUAAGUCGGUUCCCAAGAGUCUUAACUGUUUGGCUAUGAGGCUUGUUGGUGAGAGGAUCUCUAACCCUGAGAAGUAUAAGGAUGCUCCGUUUGAUUCGGCUGUGUUGGAGGAUCCGAGUCUUUAUCACUACGCGGUUUUCUCUGAUAAUGUGAUUGCUGUUUCCGUUGUGGUGAGGUCGGUUGUGGUGAACGCUGAGGAGCCGUGGAAGCAUGUGUUUCAUGUGGUGACUGAUAGGAUGAAUCUCGCCGCUAUGAAGGUUUGGUUUAAGAUGCGUCCUUUGGACCGUGGUGCUCGUGUUGAGAUUAAGUCGGUUGAGGAGUUUAAGUUCUUGAACUCUUCGUAUGCGCCGGUCUUGAGGCAGUUAGAGUCUGCUAAGUUGCAGAAGUUUUACUUUGAGAAUCAGGCGGAGAACGCGACUAGAGAUGAACAUAACAUCAAGUUCAAGAACCCGAAGUAUCUCUCGGUGUUGAACCAUUUGAGAUUCUACUUACCGGAGAUGUAUCCGAAGCUGAAUAAGAUCUUGUUCUUGGACGAUGAUGUUGUGGUGCAGAAGGACGUGACUGGGUUGUGGAAGAUUAAUUUAGAUGGGAAGGUGAAUGGAGCUGUUGAGACUUGCUUUGGCUCUUUUCAUCGAUAUGGUCAAUAUCUAAACUUCACUCAUCCUCUGAUUAAAGAGAGCUUUAACCCCAAUGCUUGUGCUUGGGCCUUUGGGAUGAAUAUAUUUGAUCUCAAUGCUUGGAGGCGUGAGAAAUGCACUGAUCAAUACCAUUACUGGCAGAACUUGGUAAGUCCAUAUCUUUUCUUUGUAACUUAUGCAUAUCAAAUAAUCUCUUUAUCUUGUGUUGAUUGUGUGUUAAUCUCUCUUGAGCAGAAUGAAGACAGAAGUCUCUGGAAAUUAGGCACUCUGCCUCCUGGACUGAUGACAUUCUAUUCAAAGACGAAAUCACUGGACAAGUCAUGGCAUGUGCUUGGGUUAGGCUACAACCCAGGAGUGAGCAUGGACGAGAUUAAAAAAGCAGCAGUGAUUCAUUACAAUGGGAACAUGAAACCAUGGCUAGACAUUGCUAUGAACCAAUACAAGUCUCUCUGGACUAAAUACGUCGACAACGAAAUGGAGUUUGUGCAGAUGUGCAAUUUUGGUCUUUAAAGAAAGAUAUCGAUGAAGAGGUAACCUCAAAUCGAUAUGUGUUCAGUCAUUCAGGGCAUUCUUUAGCUGAUAUACGUUUAUCUUUUAUAUUAUAUAGGGUUACAAAAGUGUUUUGCUUUGUUCUUUCUGUCAUAGUUAUGUUCUUUAUUU